CAAAUACUCCCUCCGUUCCGAAUUACUCGUCGCAGAAAUGGAUGUAUCUAGAUGUAUUUUAGUUCUAGAUACAUCCAUUUCUGAGACGAGUAAUUUGGAACGGAGGGAGUACAUG
rnacentral:pre_miRNA from 1 species